AUGACCUGUUCCUGAGAGAAGACAAACAAUCCCAGUCUGCCUCCAGCCAGAGUGUUGUCGUAAACUGCCCCCGAGUCGGCCAGGAUCUCCCUGCCCUCAUACACAACCACCCUGUAACAGGAGCACAACACAGAACCAUUAGUGAGAGGAAGAACUAAGAUGAAGCAGAUGUUGCAGGUUGGGGUGAAGCGAGUACACCAGAGGAAGUGGAUUACACUGUUAUCAUAAAAAUAACUCCGGGAGAUGGAUGAUAUUUCCAAGGGAACCUGCAGCGGGUUGUGAAGAAGAGGACAGUUAUCGCACUGAUCUCCAAC